rnacentral:lncRNA from 1 species
UUUUUUUGGACCAAGGACCUCAAAUCAAAAUAUCCUAGGUCUCUAUCACUUAUGGUGUUCCAGUUUAAAAUACAUUUCAAAAUUUCAAAUACAAAAGGGGAAAUAACUCUCAUAUGGAGCGUUCAUAUUGCUUCAGUCGAAAUUGGACAAAUCAUGUGAAGGAUAUAACGAGCAAUUUUAUAAAAUAAAUUUGUCGUAAUCUUUUACGGUUGCGAAGGAGUCGUGAUCACAAGGAAAACAGUGUUUGGGGAGAUAACUCCUACAAAGAAAAGUAUUCGGUUACGUAGGGU